AAGAGGCCACACAUGAUUGGCUCAGGGAAAGCCUGUUAGAAUGGUGCUGGUGUCAACAAAGUUAAAUCAGAAAUUCUGUCAAUGUCAAGGUUAACUGAAGAAGAAUCUCACUGAGGUCUCUGUGUUUCUUUGCUAACUUGGUGGAGAAAGCAAGCUGAGCUCUACCAUGCAAGUAUCUCCUCAUUGUUCUUUGCCCUGAACUGUGGAUGGAAACACUGUGACUAGAGGCUUCCAGUUCCUGCUAAGUUGAAUUUCCUACAACAGACGGUAACCUGCAAUUGUGGGCCACACAAAUCAUCUUCUCCUUCAGUAAGCCCCUUCUCCCUGGGAAAACUGAUAGAAGCCGCUCGCAGCUGUGUGCUAUCCACUGAGGGAAUAAUAAUAAUGCUCAUGCAUAUGCAUGGUUUCACUAAGAAUAAGCUGUUGGAAGACAAAGGCCAUGUUUUUUAAACAUCUGCAUCCUAUAACACCUGCCACAUUGUAAAUGCUCAAGAAACAUGUGAUGAUUAUGUAACAUGAGCAAAAGGAAAAAAAAAAAGGCAUGAACUAC